rnacentral:tRNA from 1 species
CCGUAGUUCAAUGGCAGAACACGAAAAUACGUUUCACCACCUUUGUCGUCGCAUCUUUUUCAGGCAGCGAAUGCGGCCGGGCAUUCCAUCGGAACUGUGGGUUCGAAUCCCACCUUGCGAA